GGGGUCCAGCCCGGCUGAACGUCCUAAAUGAAGAAAGUUCUCUCGGCCGUUUAAAAAUAGAUAAGCAAAAAAGGAGGAGAAGGAGAAAAGGAGAGAAGGAAGAGGAGAAGGAGAAAAAGAGAGAAAAGGGCACAAGGCAUAUGGGAUCUUAACUGCCCAGCCAGGGACUGAACCCUCAUCUCUUGCUCUGGAAGACAAAGUCCUAAUCACUGUUCCGCCAGGGAAGUCCCUACUACUUCGUUUGCAUAAAAGCAGAAAUACUAUAGCUUCUUCUGGAAGCCAAGGAGGAGCCGGAAAAUUACCUCCAAUCACGAUUCGGAAGCACAACCUCAGGCCUGAAGGCCAGAUGCGGGAUCUCCAGAGGCCAGCGCUGACCCCAGGAUGGCAGGAAAUAUUCGUACUUCAAUUUUUAUCCUGCCCACAUCAAAACAGCAACAAUGAACACAUUGAAGUUAACUGUCACCAUAUCAGCAUGGAAUCAUUUAUCAUGUUAACGAUUGCCUUGGUCAGUUCACCCUCAUGACUUCCCAAGACAGAAUUGAGCUGGAUGAAUAGCCCCCCAACAUCUGGCAGCCCUUGAUGCUCCAGUUUGGGGGAUCAAUUCACUCUAACUUGAUCAGCAUCGUGGCCAAUACGGCCCCACCCGGUGAGAGAUACUUCAGUACAUGAUACACUCCUUGUCAUAUUUUGCAAUGUGAGUUUACUGUUGAAAUACCCUUUCCAGAGUAUGAGGCAUUGAUUCUGACAUUAAAAAGACCCUGUGAGUUGUGUAAAACUGGCGCUAUUAUGAUUAUUGCUGGAGGUCAGAGAGACUAAAGGCACCUGAUCAGUGUCACAAAGCCAGUAAGUGGGAAAGCCACGAAUAUGGAUAUGAUGGUUUUUUCAUUCAAAAUGUCAUGGUUUGGGACUUAUUCUUUUCAACUACAU
ensembl:lncRNA